GUGGGGAAUAUUGCACAAUGGGGGAAACCCUGAUGCAGCAACGCCGCGUGAGUGAUGAAGGCCUUCGGGUCGUAAAACUCUGUCCUCAAGGAAGAUAAUGACGGUACUUGAGGAGGAAGCCUCGGCUAACUACGUGCCAGCAGCCGCGGUAAUACGUAGGGGGCUAGCGUUAUCCGGAUUUACUGGGCGUAAAGGGAGCGUAGGUGGAUAUUUAAGUGGGAUGUGAAAUACUCGGGCUUAACCUGGGUGCUGCAUUCCAAACUGGAUAUCUAGAGUGCAGGAGAGGAAAGUAGAAUUCCUAGUGUAGCGGUGAAAUGCGUAGAGAUUAGGAAGAACACCAGUGGCGAAGGCGAUUCUCUGGACUGUAACUGACGCUGAGGCUCGAAAGCGUGGGGAGCAAACAGGAUUAGAUACCCCUGUAGUCC
rnacentral:rRNA from 1 species